rnacentral:rRNA from 5 species
CCGAAUGGGGAAACCCAGUGUGACUCGUCACACUAUCAUUAACUGAAUCCAUAGGUUAAUGAGGCGAACCGGGGGAACUGAAACAUCUAAGUACCCCGAGGAAAAGAAAUCAACCGAGAUUCCCCCAGUAGCGGCGAGCGAACGGGGAGGAGCCCAGAGCCUGAAUCAGCAUGUGUGUUAGUGGAAGCGUCUGGAAAGGCGCGCGAUACAGGGUGACAGCCCCGUACACAAAAGCGCAUGUGCUGUGAGCUCGAUGAGUAGGGCGGGACACGUGGUAUCCUGUCUGAAUAUGGGGGGACCAUCCUCCAAGGCUAAAUACUCCUGACUGACCGAUAGUGAACCAGUACCGUGAGGGAAAGGCGAAAAGAACCCCGGCGAGGGGAGUGAAAAAGAACCUGAAACCGUGUACGUACAAGCAGUGGGAGCAC